rnacentral:rRNA from 1 species
AUUGAACGCUGGCGGCAGGCCUAACACAUGCAAGUCGAGCGGCAGCGGGAAAGUAGCUUGCUACUUUUGCCGGCGAGCGGCGGACGGGUGAGUAAUGCCUGGGGAUCUGCCCAGUCGAGGGGGAUAACUACUGGAAACGGUAGCUAAUACCGCAUACGCCCUACGGGGGAAAGCAGGGGACCUUCGGGCCUUGCGCGAUUGGAUGAACCCAGGUGGGAUUAGCUAGUUGGUGAGGUAACGGCUCACCAAGGCGACGAUCCCUAGCUGGUCUGAGAGGAUGAUCAGCCACACUGGAACUGAGACACGGUCCAGACUCCUACGGGAGUCAGCAGUGGGGAAUAUUGCACAAUGGGGGAAACCCUGAUGCAGCCAUGCCGCGUGUGUGAAGAAGGCCUUCGGGUUGUAAAGCACUUUCAGCGAGGAGGAAAGGUCAGUAGCUAAUAUCUGCUGGCUGUGACGUUACUCGCAGAAGAAGCACCGGCUAACUCCGUGCCAGCAGCCGCAGUAA